rnacentral:rRNA from 1 species
CUACGGGAGGCAGCAGUGGGGAAUAUUGCACAAUGGGCGAAAGCCUGAUGCAGCAACGCCGCGUGAACGAUGAAGGUCUUCGGAUCGUAAAGUUCUGUUGCAGGGGAAGAUAAUGACGGUACCCUGUGAGGAAGCACCGGCUAACUACGUGCCAGCAGCCGCGGUAAUACGUAGGGUGCUAGCGUUAUCCGGAUUUACUGGGCGUAAAGGGUGCGUAGGUGGUCUUUCAAGUCGGUGGUUAAAGGCUACGGCUCAACCGUAUUAAGCCGCCGAAACUGGAAGACUUGAGUGCAGGAGAGGAAAGUGGAAUUCUCAGUGUAGCGGUGAAAUGCGUAGAUAUUGGGAAGAACACCAGUAGCGAAGGCGGCUUUCUGGACUGCAACUGACACUGAGGCACGAAAGCGUGGGUAGCAAACAGGAUUAGAUACCCGCGUAGUCCA